GACUCUUAGUGGUGGAUCACUCGGCUCGUGCUUCGAUGAAGCAGCUAGCUGAGAGAAUUAAUGUGAAUUGCAGGACAAAAAACAAACAAACAAAAAUUUUAGGCCCUCAAAUCAAACGUCACACAACUGUCAGGGAGACA
ensembl:rRNA 5_8S_rRNA 5.8S ribosomal RNA